CCUACGGGAGGCAGCAGUAGGGAAUUUUGCGCAAUGGGCGAAAGCCUGACGCAGCAACGCCGCGUGAUCGAGACGCCCUUCGGGGUGUAAAGAUCUGUCAGUGGGGACGAAACGUGACGGUACCCACAGAGGAAGCACCGGCUAACUCCGUGCCAGCAGCCGCGGUAAUACGGGGGGUGCAAGCGUUGUCCGGAACCAUUGGGCGUAAAGAGUUCGGAGGCGGCACGUAAAGUCUGGUGUUAAAGGCAGGGGCUCAACUUCUGUACGGCACGGGAUACUUGCGAGCUAGAAUGCGGUAGAGGUCACUGGACUUCCUGGUGUAGCGGUGACAUGCU
rnacentral:rRNA from 1 species